GCCUCUGGGAUGGCCUUCGGGGGCUGCCCUCGCGCGUGCCUGAACCAAUCUGCGCGGCGGCCCGCCUCUCCCUGCCGCCUGCACGCUUUCCUGUGUUUCCAAGGCGACUUCUCACGCAGGUUGGGGAUCCCCGAGUCCCGAGCGUCCCACCAAAGGCUGUGCUUGCGGCCCCAACUCUAUGGUUCCUCGGGGGCCUGCGGACCGGUGCAUGCCGGGCCGGCGGUGGGCGGGGCCCGGGCUCCUAUCAUGGCGGCGGCGGUGGCGGCGGCUGCUUCCCGAUUCUGGCUGUGGGCCGCCCUGCUUAUCCCUGCGGCCGCGGUCUACGAAGACCAAGUGGGCAAGUUUGACUGGAGACAGCAGUAUGUUGGGAAGCUCAAGUUUGCCUCCUUGGAAUUUUCCCCUGGAUCCAAGAAGUUAGUUGUGGCCACAGAGAAGAAUGUGAUUGCAGCACUGAAUUCUCGGACAGGGGAGAUCUUGUGGCGCCAUGUGGACAAGGGCACGGCGGAAGGGGCAGUGGACGCCAUGCUGCUCUACGGACAGGAUGCAAUCACUGUGUCCAAUGGAGGCCGGAUCAUGCGCUCCUGGGAGACUAACAUCGGGGGACUGAACUGGGAGAUGACCUUGGACAGCGGCAGUUUCCAGGCGCUUGGGCUGGUAGGCCUCCAGGAGUCGGUGAGGUACGUUGCGGUCCUGAAGAAAACCACUCUUGCCCUCCAUCACCUCUCCAGUGGGCACCUCAAGUGGGCAGAACAUCUCCCGGAAAGUGACAACAUCCACUACCAGAUGGUGUAUUCCUAUGGCUCUGGGGUAGUGUGGGCCCUCGGAGUCGUUCCCUUCAGCCACGUGAACAUUGUCAAGUUUAACGUGGAGGAUGGAGAGAUUGUUCAGCAGGUCAGAGUGUCGACUCCCUGGCUGCAAAGUCUCACUGGAGCCUGUGGUGUGGUGGAUGAGGCUGUCCUGGUGUGCCCUGACCCCAGCUCACGGUCCCUCCAGACCUUGGCCCUGGAGACAGAGUGGGAGUUGAGGCAGAUCCCCCUGCAGUCUCUUGACCUAGAAUUUGCAAGUGGAUUCCAGCCCCGGGUCCUGCCGACACAGCCCAACCCCAUGGAUCCUUCUCGAGCCCAGUUCUUCCUACAGUUGUCCCCGAGCCACUAUGCUCUGCUGCACCACCACCACGGGGUCCUGAGUCUGCUCAAAAACUUCCCGCAGACUGCCCUAGUGAGCUUCGCCACCACUGGGGAGAAGACGGUGGCCGCAGUCAUGACCUGCCGGAAUGAGGUGCAGAAGCCUAGCAGUUCUGAAGAUGGGUCAAUGGGGAGCUUCUCAGAGAAGUCCAGUGCACAGGAUUCGCUGGCUUGUUUCAACCAGACCUACACCAUCAACCUCUACUUGGUGGAGACGGGUCGGCGGCUGCUCGACACCACGAUCACCUUCAGCCUGGAACAGAACGGCACCCGGCCGGAGCGGCUGUACAUCCAGGUCUUCUUGAAGAAGGAUGACUCCGUGGGCUACCGGGCCUUGGUGCAGACGGAGGACCACCUGCUGCUUUUCCUGCAGCAGCUGGCAGGGAGGGUGGUGCUUUGGAGCCGCGAGGAGUCCUUGGCCGAGGUAGUGUGCCUGGAGAUGGUGGACCUCCCCCUGACCGGGGCGCAGGCUGAGCUGGAAGGGGAAUUUGGCAAGAAGGCAGCAAUUCAAGACGGCUUGCUGGGCAUGUUCCUGAAACGCCUCUCGUCCCAGCUCAUCCUGCUGCAGGCGUGGACUUCCCACCUCUGGAAAAUGUUCUACGAUGCUCGGAAGCCCCGGAGUCAGAUUAAGAAUGAGAUCAACAUUGACACCUUGGCCAGAGACGAGUUCAACCUCCAGAAGAUGAUGGUGAUGGUGACGGCCUCAGGCAAGCUUUUUGGCAUCGAGAGCAGCUCUGGCACCAUCCUGUGGAAACAGUAUCUCCCUAACGUCAAGCCCGACUCCUCCUUUAAGCUGAUGGUCCAGAGGACAACUGCCCAUUUCCCCCACCCUCCUCAGUGCACUCUUCUGGUCAAGGACAAGGAGACGGGGAUGAGUUCGCUCUAUGUCUUCAACCCCAUUUUUGGGAAGUGGAGUCAGGUGGCCCCUCCAGUGCUGAAGCGCCCCAUCUUGCAGUCUUUGCUUCUCCCCAUCAUGGAUCAAGACUACGCCAAGGUGCUGCUGUUGAUAGAUGACGAGUAUAAGGUCACCGCUUUCCCGGCCACUCGGAAUGUCCUGCGGCAGCUCCAUGAACUCGCCCCUUCCAUCUUCUUCUAUUUGGUGGAUGCGGAACAGGGACGGCUGUGUGGCUAUCGACUGCGAAAGGACCUCACCACUGAGCUGAGCUGGGAGCUGACUAUCCCCCCGGAGGUACAGCGCAUCGUCACGGUGAAGGGGAAGCGCAGCAGCGAGCACGUCCACUCCCAGGGCCGCGUGAUGGGGGACCGCAGCGUGCUCUACAAGAGCCUGAACCCCAACCUGCUGGCCGUGGUGACGGAGAGCACAGAUGUUCACCACGAACGCACUUUCAUCGGCAUCUUCCUCGUGGACGGUGUCACCGGGCGCAUCAUCCACUCGUCCGUGCAGAGGAAGGCCAGGGGCCCUGUCCACAUCGUGCACUCGGAGAACUGGGUGGUGUACCAGUACUGGAACACCAAGGCCCGGCGCAACGAGUUCACCGCGCUGGAGCUCUAUGAGGGCACCGAGCAGUACAACGCCACCGCCUUCAGCUCCCUGGACCGCCCGCAGCUGCCCCAGGUGCUCCAGCAGUCCUACAUCUUCCCAUCCCCCAUCAGCGCCAUGGAGGCCACCAUCACGGAGCGGGGCAUCACCAGCCGCCACCUGCUGAUUGGGCUGCCUUCUGGAGCGAUUCUCUCCCUUCCUAAGGCCUUGCUGGAUCCCCGCCGCCCCGAGAUCCCAACAGAACAAAGCAGAGAGGAGAACCUGAUCCCAUAUUCUCCAGACGUACAGAUCCAUGCAGAGCGGUUCAUCAACUAUAACCAGACAGUUUCUCGAAUGAGAGGGAUCUACACAGCUCCCUCAGGCCUGGAGUCUACUUGUUUGGUGGUGGCCUACGGCUUGGACAUUUACCAGACUCGAGUCUACCCAUCCAAACAGUUUGACGUCCUGAAGGAUGACUACGACUACGUGCUCAUCAGCAGCGUCCUCUUUGGCCUGGUCUUUGCCACCAUGAUCACUAAGAGACUGGCCCAGGUGAAGCUCCUGAACCGUGCCUGGCGGUAGAGACCUGAGACCCACUGCCAGAGGCCAGAGAGGAGUGAGGGUCAGCUCAGAGGCUCCAGCUGCAGCUGACAUCACGGGGAGGAUGAGCCUUGGGCACUCAUCUCGGUUGAGAGUUGGGGGAAGAAGUUAGACUCUGGCGGAGACUCCUUUUGCGAUGCGUCUGAUGCGGCAUCAUCGGCGGGGGAUGAAGGCUGAACUGUCCCCCACCUGAGACCUCAAAGCAUCUUGGACUUUGCCUUGGAGCCCCAAGGCCAUUGCCCUGUUCCCUUUCUGUGCCCAUCCGUGAAUGCUGGUGUUUGAUAAGACCUCCAGCAGAGUGUUCUGUGGGAGGCCUGUUUAAAUGGAUUUGGGCUUGCCUUCCAUUUCCCAGGUUGAUCUAGAAAUCUUUCUGAUUGUUUCCCUGCUCCCUGCUUCAAAGUCAGAAGGGAACUCUCACCGACGACUCCGCCUUCUAGGGGAGAAAGAAGAUCUGUUCUUAGCUGAGGUUCGAGGACGGCUCCAGCCUCUCAUGGCUUCUCUCCAAAGGUCUACGAAUCUAUCUCUGGUGUCAGAACUUCUUUCACCUAAGCCUCCAGUUUCAGGUUCCCAUUCGCCCAGUCUUAGAUUCGGAUUAUCAAGAGCCAAGUAUGUUAUAGUGCCUUGGUUUGUUGGUCAGUGUCCAUGCAGCUGGGGCCUUUUAAACAGUGCUGAAUUAUGUGAACCUCGAAUUGGGUUCAAGGGAAGAAGGCAAAUCUCCCCGUUUCACAGUCCUCAGAAUCUCUCACUUCACCCAAAUCAGCUUCGAACCUAAUUAGAGAAGGUUGUCCUUAAGAACCUCCUUAUUUAUUUUUAGUUGUAAAUGAAUGUGUGGGUUACUGUAUUUUCUCUGAAAAACGAGCAGAUUUUAACUGAUCUUUACAAAAGGAAGGGAGAAAAGGGUAGGGGGAAGGAAACUGGCAUCUUGUGGCUGUCGCGUUGCUGACUGGCUGGGCUGUUGUCUCUGCUACAGACUAAAAGUGUCCUAAAGAGUUCCCUUGUUCAUGGAUUUGGGGAAUGAUGGGGGUUUUCUUUACUGGGAAGAAUGCAAUACACACAGACCCCUGUUGGAAGAGAAGUACAUUUACAUGUCUGAAUAAAGUGAGCGACAAAUGACA